GUGAGGAAUUUUCGGCAAUGGACGAAAGUCUGACCGAGCAACGCCGCGUGAGUGAUGAAGGUCUUCGGAUCGUAAAGCUCUGUGGUAAAGGAAGAAUACCAUGGACAGGAAAUGGUUCAUGGCUGACGGUACUUUACUAGAAAGUCACGGCUUACUACGUGCCAGCAGCCGCGGUAAUACGUAGGUGGCAAGCGUUAUCCGGAUUUAUUGGGCGUAAAGGGUGCGCAGGCGGUCUGUUUAGUCUGAGGUGAAAGCGUUGAGCUUAACUCAAUUAAGCCUCAGAUACUGGCAGACUAGAGUGCAGAAGAGGGUUAUGGAAUUCCAUGUGUAGCGGUAAAAUGCGUAGAUAUAUGGAGGAACACCGGCGGCGAAGGCGGUAACCUGGUCUGUUACUGACGCUCAGGCACGAAAGCGUGGGGAGCAAAUAGG
rnacentral:rRNA from 1 species